rnacentral:rRNA from 1 species
UACGUAGGGUGCGAGCGUUGUCCGGAUUCAUUGGGCGUAAAGAGCUCGUAGGCGGCCUGUCGCGUCGGCUGUGAAACCCCGAGGCUCAACCUCGGGCCUGCAGUCGAUACGGGCAGACUAGAGUGUGGUAGGGGAGACUGGAAUUCCUGGUGUAGCGGUGAAAUGCGCAGAUAUCAGGAGGAACACCGGUGGCGAAGGCGGUUCUCUGGGCAGUAACUGACGCUGAGGAGCGAAAGCGUGGGGAGCGAACAGG